rnacentral:misc_RNA from 2 species
CAACCACUCAGGCCCUGGUGCCUGGCGUCGGGGUAUUUCUGUAACAAGAAAUCCCCUAGAACCAGUGGCGGACCCGCCGCGGCUCCGAGCGUAGUAGUAAAAUAUCUCGCUAUGGAGGCCCGUGGAGGGAUUACCGGCCGUAAAACCUCUUCUUUACUGAAGAACUUCUCAA